AUUACUAGAAAAGGAAGAGACAAAACAAGUUGCAUGUUACUUUUCUGACUUUUAACGCUUUUUUAGGCUUAUUGUUUUUCGCAACUACAGCCUCCCAAUACACAUCUGUUUCCUCCCUUAUCUCUCUUCUUUCCCGACUAAACACCCACCAUAGCUACCGGCCGGAAAAAUAUACAUUGCUAAUUAAUAAUUUGCAUGCGGUGAUUACCAUAGAUCAAGUAAUUUCAAUCAUUUUUUUUUUAUCAUAGCUAUGUCAAAAAAAAGUAAAUGUCCAGUUAGUCCCGUAAAGAAAUUUUUCCGCUCAAGCACGCUGCAACGCUGUCUGAUGGUGAGACCCAGAAACCUUGGUAUCCGACAGUUUUGCUCACGGAAGAAGAUUUCUUUUCGCUUCUGAAAUGCUAACAAUGAUGGUUAUUUUUUUAUUUUACUUGCACAAGGCUAACUGGAUGCGUUGAGAAAGGGCCUUGGUGAUGAGGAGACAAAGUAUUUGGUUUCAGUAUGACAAUGAUGAUCAUGAGUAUUAAGAACUCCAGGAGGUCAUUGCAAAGAGGAGUUGAAGUUACCAUUUCCAAUCGAGCCUUGGCCUCGUCAGCACCUAUGAUAUCAUUGAAGGAAAUCUGUUUUGGCACUGUUCUCUUCGAGCCAUAGAUUCUGUCAAACACAGUAACUAGCACCGGGGAAAGUGGUUCAAGCCAUUUCACUGAAGAGAGCGUCUUCUUAAAUUCUUCUGAGUACUUCUCGGGGGACUUCUCGGGGGACUUCUCGAUUUCAGCCAAGGUGGCCCCGGUCAUCCAACAAAAAGCACGGCUGAAGCCUUUUAUUGCUGCUUCUAUGAGCAUCUGAAGAGGGCCCUCUGUAGACAAACGCAAAGUUUAGCAAGUAAAAGUGAAAAACAAUGUAUAAUAUAUAAUAUAAGAGAUAAAAGUAAAAAAAGAGAAACACAUACUGUAAGUGUCUAGUUUUAAAAGUUUGAGCAAAUCAACACUAUCUAUACUCAUGACUUUGAAGGAAAUAUCAUCAAAAUCAUCAGGGUUUUCAAGUUUGUACAAGUCCUCAUCAGUGAUUUUAAGCUUGUAUACAUCGACUUUAAUCCCUUCAAGUUUGGGUUCUUCAUCAUUAGUGUGGUCAAGUUUGGUGUCAUCAUCUUCAAUAGUGCUUUUACAGAGGAGGUGGUUCAAGUUGUGCUAAGAAAAACCACAAAAGAAGUUAAUCAAUUGUGUUAAAAUGAAUAGGUCAAGGAAACUAACAGGAAGAUAGAAAUAGAAAGUACCAGUCUAUGAUGAUAUUAUUUCAAAAAUAGAUAAAUGUAUGCAACCAAACAACAUGGUUGGCAUUUACUUAAAGUAGACAGCAAUGUGUUCAUGAAGUUGACGUGUU